rnacentral:lncRNA from 1 species
UUGAGGUGCUACCUUACACUACAAGAAGAUAACUCUGAAAAAUCAGGUAAACGUUUUAAUUACAUUGUGUUGGAAUAUUAAGCUUCUCGGUGAUCAAAAAAAGGGUUUUCAAACUACUAUAUAACCAGUGUAAUUUUUUUUAUAAAAUGGUUAAUUCAAAUUUUUGGAAAAUUUUAUAUUUUUAUCAAAGAGUCAAAGUAAAAACUUCAAAUGUCAAAAUUUUAUGAAAAUUAGACGAGCCAAAUUAAUUUUAGUGAAGGUGAUGGGUACCUUCGGGCUAAGUGUUAGACAUUGGGCGUUAUUUGGAUUUUUAUAUUAGGUAUGCAUUUCUAACUAUAUGAACUGCAUCUGAAUAUCAAAAUUUGAUGGAUGUUGCUUUUACACUUCCAGGGUCAGUGUCAAUUACAAAAUAAAUUUUGUGGAAUAGGAUUAAUAUAAAAAGCAUGGGGAAAUAUGACCUAUUUUUUACAUUUUAAAUUUCGAUUUCAUCAAAAUCAGAAAAAUCUCCA